AUGCACCAAACAGAAGCCUGACAGCCAGUCCCAGAUGUGUUUCACGUUGGGGUUUCUAUGGCUGUUCAGCUGCAAACGGUGCAAGAGCAACAUCAGCCCUGAUAUUUAAGCUUCUCAGUGGAAAGCAACACUGAGGAGUUAUGGCUCAAUGGCACAACA